GGAAUGAUUAACUGAAGGAGAGACAUAAAUGGCAGCGUCUUGAUCAAGGGAGCUUCUGUCAGGGUACCAUCUAGAUAAAUUAAAAAAUGAAUGCUCAGGUUGCUGUGAAGGAAGACUAAUGACAUUAAGUCAAGAUGAAAUAGAAAGGUACAGUACUACAGGCUGAAAAUCAUAAACUACCAGCCUGUCCUGGCGAGAAACCCUGAGAAACUUCCUGAGCUGGAAAGUAACUGGGAACAUUAAGGAAUGACUUUCUGUAGGGGCCUGAUCUUGAAGUUACUCAGGACUAAAGAUGUCCUGGACCACAAUAGUCACUUUUUCAAAGCUUUCAAGACUGGUCAAGGAAUAUUCUGGAAGUAUCUGAAACAGCAGGUGUUAAUAACAGCUCUACGUACUACAGGUGCUGUGCAUCUGAUGUGCUUUCUGUACUUAAUGGGAAUCCAGCCUUUCUCCUAAAUGUGAAAUGUGGUCCCUCCAAUCCAGAGGCAAGCAGACCGUGGAUAACAGGAAAAUGUAAAAACUACAGCCAGUAAAUGUUUAUAUAAUUCAGUGAAUUUAUUUACAAGAAAGCAGGAAAAACAGGAAUGGCAGUACCCUGAAAGGAGUGGAGAUCCUAGCUGAAAGCACGGGGAAACCUUGUAAGCAAGCUGAACGUGUUUGUGCAAAAAGACAUUUCUCAGGAGUGUUUGCAUUGCAAGUGACAUCUGGCUGACAGGAACUUGGAGAAAUGGGAUGCGAAGUGAAUGCUGCAGUUACCACAGCAUUAUAUUUAUCAAAAGGUUUAAGACAUCAUGUCGGGCUGAAAUUCUAAGGAGACACUCCCUAUGAUUCAUGGGAGAGGAAGAAGAAAUAAAAGUUAUUCCACUACUGCAUGGAGAGAGUCCUAACUGCAGUUGUGCAGCACUGCUGAUAACAGGCCAAAACAGCAUCCUGUCAGGAUACUGCUGGAGUACUUUGUUUGACUCGUCAAAACUUCAGACGGAUUCACUGCAUUGUCUGGACACUGGAGAUCCAGUUCAGUGCUGCAGUUGGCCCGUUCCUGGUCUAGCCAAACCUCCUCUCCACAUGCAUAUAGGAUUUUUAUAUAGAAGAUAGUACAGGAGGCAGAGAAUCUACAGCACAGGUAAGUCACUCAGCUGAUGAUAUUUACAAAUUUUGACAAAAAGUAUUGCAUUUAAUGUGCAAUAAACAAUUUGCAGUUCAAGAAAGCA
rnacentral:lncRNA from 1 species